GCGGGUAUAGCUCAGUUGGUAGAGCAGCUGACUCUUAAUCAGAAGGUCGUGGGUUCAACCCCCUCUACCCGCACCA
rnacentral:tRNA from 1 species